CAAAUAUCUCUUCUAAGGGUAGUUUACUAUUAAUAAAAACAGUGUUCAUAACAGUAAUUUUGCAAGUGUAAGUCCGUAAAAUUGCAAAAAUUUAAGAUUUGUUUUAUGUCCACGGUUUUUAAUGGUAGUAACCUUAUACAGCAUUCAUUUAGGGAAAGCUCUCUUACUUCCUCAUACAACUUGAGAAAUGGCGCAGAUCAUCUCAUUUCUUUUUCAUCUGUUUCCAGUGUUCACACUUCAAAUACAAGGAUCCACUUCGGUGACUUGUGUAUUUGUGCAGACUGGAAAGGAUCUAAUUCUCAAUCUCACAGAAGCUGAUUUUCCCUUAAAUUGUACCCUCUGGUUAUGGCAAUUUAAAGAUGAAACAUUGGUUACCUUCCCCACUGGUUCAUCACCUCAGGUUCAACGAAAUUACACUGGAAGACUUGAAGUCAUUGAGAAAACACACAAUGUCAAAUUAAAGAAUGUACACAAGUCAGACAGCGGUAUUUUAUACCGCAAAGUCAGUAGAGCCAAAACAACAAAUACUAACCGAAUACAACGUUACAGCUCAAGAUCCAGUGUCUCCAGUUGAACUCACCAUUAACCUCACCUCCAGCACCUCCUCCAGUAUCUUCACAGUGAUCUGCAGAGCAGGGAACUCUUCCAUCAGCAGCACUCUUAGAUGUGAGAAUAGAACAUGUGGAGAGGGUAGAGGGGUCACCACAUCUGGCUCCUCUCUUCAUAUCUAUCAGUUGAAUGAAUCAAUCAUCUGUAACCACAGCAACCAGGUCAGCUGGACCGAAUCCAUAAAAAAGAUUCAAGAUCACUGCUCCAAACAUGGUGAAGCCAAAAACUAUUACCUGUAUAUUGUAUUGAUCAUUAUGGCUGUGCUUCUUCCUGUCGUUAUCAUUUGCACGGUCA